AAUAAUCCAGACCUUUGCCAACAGUGUUAGGAUUGAUCCAGCCCUCCUGUUUGCCAUCUUAGGUGAGGCUACAAGGUGCAAUCCCAGGGAACUAAAGAAAUGAAUCCCAGAGGCACCUUCAGCAGGGGAGCCAGCUCCCUCCAGCCCUGCUUCUCCGGGUCCACCCCAUCCUCAGUAUCCAGCUUCUCUCUCUUGCUUGCCCCCUCCUAGAAAUUCUCACCAUAGACAAGCCCCAGUCUCACAGUUGUCCCUCCAAGAUGCCAGAGAAAUUGGAACUCCCUUUCAAACUGAAAGACACCUUUUUGUAGAUGGUUCUUCUCAAGUGAUAAAAGAGAAAAGGCCUAACAGGUACUCAGUGGUAGAUGGAGACACCCUCACAAAAAUAGAAUCAGGAAGAUUACCUAAUGACUGCUCUGCACAAACACAUGAGUUGUUUGCACUAAAUCAAGCCUUAAAAUCUCUGCAAAACCAGAAAGGAGCUAUUCAUACUGACUCCAGGUAUGCCUUUGGAGUCAUCCACACCUUUGAAAAUUUGGGCAGAGCGAGGUCUCAUUAACAGUAAAGGCCAAAACUUAGUCCAUAGAGACUUAAUAAUCUAAGUACUAGAGAACUUACAGCUGCCAGAAGAGAUAGCAGUUGUUCAUGUUCCAGGUCACUAGAAGAAUCUUUCCUUCGAGAGCUGAGGGAAUAACAUAGCUAACCAGUAGCCAAACAAGCUGCCUCUUCUCAAGCAGCACCCAUUUUCCACCUAACCCCUUAUCUUCCCGCUCCAGCUGUAGUCCCUAUCUUCUCCCCCAGAAAGCAAGAAAAGCUAGAAGAAAUAGGAGCCAAAGAAAGCCAUGAGGGAAAAUGGGUACUACCAGACAAGAGAGAAAUGCUGUCUAAGCCCCUCAUGUGAGAGAUAUUGUCACAGCUACAUCAAGGAACUCACUGGGGCCCCCAAGCUAUGUGUGAUGCAGUCCUUAGAGUUUAUGGAUGCAUAGGAAUUUAUACCUUUGCUAGACAAGUUGCAGAUAGUUGUAUAUAGUGUGCAGAAAAAACAAUAAACAAACCCUAACAGAAAAUGGGAAUACCACACACCAUGGCAUUCACCCUCAUCAGGGAAAGUAGCAAAGCCUAUUUCCCUGUUGAGAGUCCGAACUGCUCCCUGAAAAGAUAUAGGCCUAUCCCCUUAUGAGAUGCUCUAUGGAUUGCCUUAUCUACAUUCUACUACUGGUCUUCCUACAUUUGAAACAAAAGAUCAGUUUCUCAGAAAUUAUAUACUUGGUUUAUCUUCCACUUUCUCUUCCCUCAUAACUAAAGGUUUUUUAGCACAGGCACCACUCCUACAGUUUCCAGUACACCAACAUCAACCUGGGGACCAUAUCCUCAUCAAAAGUUGGAGAGAAGGAAAACUCGAACCAGCUUGGGAAGGGCCCUACCUAGUGUUUCUAACCACCAAGGCCACAGUUCGAACAGCAGAAAGAGGAUGGACUCAUCACACCCGGGUCAAAAGAGCACCACCCCAUCCAGAAUCAUAGACAGCUAUCCCAGCGCCAACUCCAACCAAGCCAGUGUCCAUCAAUGUGCUUGAUCAUAGCUAAAAUGCUCCACGUGUAACUCUUGCUUUUCUACGUCACCCCAGCCAGAGAAAUCAAGAAUGACAGAUGGAGAUACAGAUGGUAACUGAACCAACUUUGUCUCUGAACCGCUUUAUUAUUCUGUGGCUUUGGGCAACUUACUUAAUCAUCUCUGUGCCUGUUUCCUCAUCCACAAAAUAUGAACAACAAGAAUGAUUAAGAGUAAAGCCCCUGACCAGGUAUAGUGGCUAACACCUGUAAUCCCAACACUUUCGGAGGCCAAGGCGGGUGGAUCACCUGAGGUCAGGAGUUCAAGACCAGCCUGACCAACAUGGAGAAACCCCAUCUCUACUAAAAAACACAAAAUUAGCCGGGCGUGGUGGCACACAUCUGUAGUCCCAGCUACUCGGGAGGAUGAGGCAGGAGAAUCACUUGAACCCAGGAGGCGGAGGUUGCAGUGAGCCGAGAUCGCACCAUUGCACUCUAGCCUGGGCAACAAGAGUGAAACUCCGUCUCACAAAAAAAAAAAGAGUAAAGCACCUAAUCAAAACUACAAUUAGACACCCUCUCAUGCCAGUCAGAAUGGCAAUUAUUAGAAAGUAAAGAAACAACAGGUGCUGGUGAAGUUGCAGAGAAAAAGGAAUGCUUUUACACUGCUGGUGGGAGUAUAAAUUAGUUCAACCAUUGGAAAAGAUAGUACAGCAAUUACUUAAGAGAUCUAGAAGCAGAAAUACCAUUUGACCCAGCAAUGCCAUUACUGGGUAUAUACCCAAAGGAAUACAGAUCAUUCCAUUAUUACAUAAAGAUACAUGCAUGAGUAUGUUCAUUGCUGCACUAUUCACAAUAGCAAAGAUAUGAAACCAACCCAAAUGCCCAUCAAUGAUAAGCUGGAGAAAGAAAAUGUGGUACAUAUACACUAUGGAAUACUAUGCAGCCAUACAAAGGAAUGAGAUCAAGUCCUUUGCAGGGAGAUGGAUGGAGCAGGGAGCCAUUAUCCUCAGCAAAUUAACACAGGAACAGAAAACCAAACACUGCAUGUUUUCACUUAUAAGUGGGAGCUGAACAAUGAGAACACAUGGGCACAUUGGGGGAACAACACACACUGGGGCCUGUCAGUGGGGCAGGGGGAGGGAGAGCAUCAGGAAGAAUAGCUAGUGGAUGCUCAGCUUAAUUCCUGGGUGAUGGGUUGAUUUGUGCAGCAAACCACUAUGGCACAUGUAUACCUAUGUAACAAACCUGCACAUCCUGCACAUGUACCUUGGAACUUAAAAGUUGAAGAAAAAAAAGAAAAAGAAAAAGAAAUGAGUAAAGUCCCUGACACAUGCUGAAGUACUCAAGAGGGAAAUAAUCAUCAUUAUCUAGAAUUUGCUCUAAACUAUUAAAGAAAAAAAGGCACUUGGAGGUAGAGGAGUAGCAACAGAUGAAACAAGAAUAGACAUCAAUUGGUAAUUGUUAAAGCUGGGUGAUUAGGAACAUGGGCGUUCAAGUUUUGAAUGUAUUUGAAAUUUUCCAUAAUAAAAAGUUAAAAUAAAUAUAUACACUUAAAAUAGCACAUAAAAUUACUAUAACAACAAGCCUGACAAUCUGGACCACACCAUCUUCACUCAUUAUAGAACUGCUUUCAUUGAGAAUCAUAAGAAACCAAGUCUACUUGUUUGAGCAAUGUUGUCAGGGAUGCUGUGUAUCCUAUCACACUGGCUUCCAUGGGGAUCCACAGAAAAAUACUUUUUAGGUCUUUAUGCCAGGACAAGCUGGUGUAGUUACUCAUUUCUGAGUUAGGCACUCCGUGAAUCUUACGUUUCUCUUUACAAUCCACUUUAGCAACUACUCCAGACCCUAGUUCUAGAGAUCACCAAUGCCCAUUCAAUCCACAAUUUUACUGCAGUUUGAUUGUGACCUUGCCCUAUGUAUCUCCAUCUGGCUGUUUAUUUGUAUCCUCUAAAAUAUCCUUUGUGUCCAGGGGCAGUGGCUCAUGCCUGUAAAUCUGCACUUUGAGAGGCCAAGGCAGGUGGAUCACUUGAUGCGAGGAGUUCCAGACCAGCCUGGCCAACAUAACAAAACCCUGUCUCUACUAAAAAUACAAAAAUUAGCCAGGCACAGUGGUGCGUGUCUGUCAUCCCAGCUACCAGGGAGGCUGAGGCACAAGGAUCGCCUGAACCCAGGAGGCAGAGGUUGCAGUGAGCCGAGAUCGCACCACUGCACUCCAGCUGGGGUAACAGAGUGAGACUCUGUCAAAAAAAAAAAAAAAAAAAAUCCUUCUUUAUAAUGAACUGGUAAAUGAGUUUCCCUGAGUUCUGUGAACAGCUCCUGCAAAUUAAGCAUACCUAAAAACAGGGCCAGGGGAACUUCAACUUGGAGUGGAUCAGCCAGAAGUUCCAGAGCCUGGACUUGCGACUGGUAUCUGAAGGAGGGGGCAGUUUGGGCACAGAGCCCCCAACGUAUGGAAGCUAAAGCAACCUCCAGGCAGAUACUGUCAGAUUUCAAUUGAAUUACAGGACACCUAGAGCUAGUGUCUGCUACUUGGCAUGUGGGGAAAAAACCCCACUCAUUUGGUCACGAACUUGAUGGCUACUGUGGAGUGAAAGAAUAGAAAAAAAAACUCAGUAUUUUUUUUUCGUCUCACAAAGGGGAAGUUGGAAUAAUCCUUGUGGUGUUGAAAUGGAAUUUUAGGUAUCAAUAGAAACUCAUAGUUUUUACUGGAUAAAUAGAUACCAGUGGGUGUGGGUGUGA
rnacentral:lncRNA from 1 species